AGUCACCUUUAUUUAUAUAGCGCUUUAAACAAAAAAGAUUGCGUCAAAGCAACUGAACAACAUUAAUUAGGAAAAUAGUGUCAAUAAUGCAAAUGACAGUUAAAGCCAGUUCAUCAUUGAAUUCAGUGAUGUCAUCAUGCAGCUCAGUUCAGUUUAAAUCGUAUCUGUGCAAUAAUUUCAUCAAAAACAAGUCAACGAUAUCGCUGUAAAUGAAGUGUCCACAACUAAGCAAGCCAGAGUCGACAGCGGCUGUAGCAAAGUCAGAUUGUGCAGAAGAAUCAUCUGUUUCCUGUGUUCUUGUCCCAGUGGUCGUCUGAGACAAGGUCUUUACAGGGGAUCUGUCUCUGGGGCUCUAUUUGUCCUGGUCUCCGCUGUCUUUCAGGGCUGUAGAGGUCCUUUCUAGGUGCUGAUCCACCAUCUGGGCUGGAUACGUACUGUAUCCGGGUGACUGCAGUGACCCUCUGACUUGGAUACAGACUGGAUCUGGUGGCUAUGGUGACCUUGGAAUAAGAGAGAAACAGACUAAUAUUAGCGUAGAUUCCAUUCUUCUAAUGAUGUAGCAAGUACAUGAGGUGUUAUGGGAAGUGUUCCCGGUUCCGGUUUACCUAAUUAAUGCAGCCUAAAAAUCGGAUUUGGAUAUUAGAAGCGUAGUAGUGUGCUAUGUGUAAGCCAGGUUAAAAAGAUGGGUCUUUAAUCUAGAUUUAAACUGCAAGAGUGUGUCUGCCUCCCGAACAAUGUUAGGUAGGUUAUUUCAGAGUUUGGGCGCUAAAUAGGAAAAGGAUCUGCCACCCGCAGUUGACUUUGAUAUUCUAGGUAUUAUCAAAUUGCCAGAGUUUUGAGAACGGAGCAGACGUGGAGGGCUAUAAUGUAACAAGAGCUUGUUCAAAUACUGAGGUGCUAAACCAUUUAGGGCUUUAUAAGUAAUAAGCAAGAUUUUAAAAUCUAUACAAUGUUUGAUAGCAAGCCAGUGCAGUGUUGACAGAACCGGGCUUAUAUGAUCAUACUUCCUGGUUCUAGUAAGAACUCUAUCAAAUAGCACACCUAGGUUCUGUCGUGGAAAUUCUAAUUCAAUAACAAUUUGUAGAGACUGAGAAUGAAACACAGAGAAUGAUCUGGUUUACACACAGCUUGAGUCUGUGUGCAAAGAGAUAACACACAGACUCACAGCACACUUUUUAUAGUAUGUAAAAAGAUACAUUGAAGGACAGAUUAGGACCUUUGAGCCAAUCAUGUUGCUCAGUGCACAUCACCCCAUAACACAUGCACAUCUCAUGCACAUUACAUGGUAAAUGUCUGGUUACACUCAAAACUGCCAGUCCCUGGUACAGUUUCCCCUUAAAUGUUGUAUUUCAACCUGAAGCAGUUAUGUGCACAAGUUACAUAAAAUAACUCAAUGUCCCUAUGGACUAUAUACUACCUUGAUCAUUGUAUGUUUAAGAAGAUACUUAAAUGAGAUUAAUGCAAUCAAUGCAAGAUUAACAAUAUUAAAAAUUUCCAUAACACUCCUCCCUUUUGAUCAUUAUUGAUCACUUAUAUUGAUUAAAUGUAGAUAAAUUUGUGAAACUUUACCCUUAUAGUUUACAUCAAUCAUGUAAAUUCAAGAUUUAAAACACCAUUACUAUCAUAAGGCGAAAAAAAAGCAUUUGCAUUGUUUUUUUAUGGAAUAUAGUCAUUCCUAACAUAUAAGCAAGCUAUAAAGAAAACAAACAACUCUUAUAUUUGAUUAUAGCUGUCAACCUGUGAAUUGCAUUAGUCAUGUUCUUAAUACCCACAUCUAUCACGUGGCCAUCAGCAUCGUUAUCAGGAAUAUACAUACACAUGCAGUUCCCAAAAGACAAGUCGGUCUUGCUGUGCAGUGAGCCUCAGCCCUCGUAUUUCCUUCUUGACGCCUUCCCUUACCACCUUAGUAGCGUUCAGUUCAUAUCUCCUGAUUUGGACUUCAAUUUGAAGAAGGCUGACCCCAAGCACCAGAACUACAGCAUGGAAGAACUUCUCCGCUCCGUUCCACAGCCUGUGUUCCCUCUUGUCGAGUUGGUCUUGUAGUUUCGCUGCAGUGGUCGGAUGGUAGGUUUUCUAACAGCUUAAGUCCCUCGCUGUCAUCCGUUGGCCCAAACUGACCCCAGAUCACUCCCACACAGUGAUGUUGCUGCGUGUUCAGCUCCCAUACACCACUGUAUGUUUGUUCACCUAAGUCAGCCAGACGUCCCCCUUGGCAUGGGGCAGCUGAUCAAUCACUUUACUGAGCUGUAGCCCUCUGGUGGCACUGGAACCUUCCUGCAGUGACUUGCAUGUACCCACGUAGCUCUCUCUGCCACUUUCACCACUGUGUGUUAUUAGCAAGACCUGAUAUCAUGCAAGACUCCUUCCGCUGGCUUGGGCAGAGCGUCCUUGACCUGCUGAGAUAUCUGAGAGAGAACAAGAGACAACUAUCGACAGUAGUUUAACGUCAUCUUCACACAAAGCUGUAGAAGGUAAUGGUCAUGGUUCUGGUCCUACUCCAAUGGAAGCUGGCCUGCCAAACCAAAUUUCAAAUGGACUGAGGUUAGACUUUGUUCUUUUUAUCAUUCUCAUAUACAUUAACACAAUGGGGAGUGCUUCUACCCAAGACAGUCCUGUCUGCUCACAACACUUCAUUAAUUUGUUCUUUAAUGUCCCACCUGAGUGAUGGCUUCAUUUGCAAAAGGUGUGCCAUUGUCACUCGUAUAUUAUAUGAUCAAAUCGCUGAUUUUGAAGUGGGUGUGCCACUUGAGGCAUCAUUUAUGGGAUCAGAAUCCCGCCAAAUGUAUUGCGGUCAUUGAUCGUAAAAUAAUAAGCAUGAAUCAAAAAUGUAAACACAUUUAAAAUUAUAUUGCACAAAACUGAAACAUGAAUUCAAAAUUUUCCAAAUCGCAAACAAAAUCAGGUUUCCUGCUCAUAUGUUAUUUUUUUGUGUGCUUAUGGUCUUUUCCCCUUUGCUCUUGUUUCCACGUUCU
ensembl:lncRNA